rnacentral:lncRNA from 1 species
GCUGCUGUGCUCGCUGCACCCGCGCGCAGGCUUUUGGAGCCCAUCGUUCGGGAGCCCGCACCUGGCACCCAGCUCUCCCCCGCCUCGCUCCUCCGGCUUUUCCCGAAAGAAGGCUUCUAGUCCUAGGGACAAGGACAGCGGUGGCCCUCGAACUUCAUUUUCCCAGGCACCGCUGGGCGAGAAGCCCGAGCAAGACGAGCUAUGGACCCCGUGAGUCAGCUGGCCUCAGCAGGCACCUUCCGGGCGCUGAAGGAACCCCUUGCCUUCCUGCGAGCCCUGGAAUUGCUGGAGCCAUGGGACAAUUCUUCAAGUCCUGGGCACUUUAGGCCCAAGGAGAGUUUUACCUGUCUGGUGGAUGGAUGAAUAAGGAAGCACUAUAAAACUUCUCCAGAACAAGACAUUAUGUCUUUGAGAUUUGGAGAGCAGCAUUCCUAGAAUUCUCUCUGUUGAGGGGCCAUUGGUGGGUCCAUACUGAUGAUGUUAUCUUGGUCUGUGCCUUUGCCCUGUCAGCAUGGGGUUCUACCAGCUUGUAAAAGCCUCUUCGUGAAGCAAACAUGGGGGUUUUUCCCUAGUGUUGGGACAGCCCAUCUGUGAAGGAAAACGUGUUCCCCCCAAGCCACAUGCACAUCAUCUUUGUUCAUAUAUUGGUAGGUUAAUUCAACACUGACACUUAAUGUUAGAACACUAUGUUAAUUAGUACAUCAGUUUAUUAAUGUGGUAGAAAGGAGAAAAGCAUGAAUGGAUGGGGUUUGGGGGCUUGUUUUUAACUUAAUAUUCCUAUGCCAAUUAAUUUUUUUUUUUCUUUUUUGGCUGCCCUGCAGCACAUCGAGUUCCUAGGCUGGUGAUAAAAUCUGAGCCACAGCUGUGACCUACUCCACAACUGUGGCAAUGCAGAGACAACUCCAAUCCCAUUGUACCACAGUGGGAAUUUAUAUGUUUUUUUAUCCUGAAUGUUUAUUUGUGGGAGAGUCAUUGGCUUCCAGUGACUCAGUGGUCUGAUGUGUCCUGUUUGUUUCAGGAAGGGGAGAGGAAGAUUGGUUGAAAAGCAAGAAUCACAGGAAAAAUCUGGAAGGUAGCAUGGAAAUUAAAGUGUCAUGGGCUUUGGAAUGAUCCCUUUGCUAAAAUUCUGGCUUUUCUUUCUAGCCGUGAAGCACUGAGCAUAUUACAUAGUCAUGCUAAUCUCAGGUCUAAGGUCAUCAAAUGAAGAUUAUAAGAUUCAUGUCUUUUGGGUUGCUGUAUGCGUUAAGUAAGAUAGGGUUUAUAAAACCCCCAGUAGAGCUUCCUUUAUUCUGAGGCUCCCUAACUGUCACUAAGGAAAAGUUUGUUAAAGACAAUGGUAUGCCAUCUAUAAAUACAAUUAAGCACUUCUAAAAUUUCUAGGAGGGUAUAAACAUAAAGUUUGCUCAAUGUGUUUUUGUCGUAUCAUUUUUCUAUUAUUAUCUCUCUAUUGGGAGAACAUUCAUUAUGAGAUGACCAGAAAAUAUACACAAGUGGGGAGCUCCCAUCAUGGCACAGUGGUUAAUGAAUCUGACUAGGAACCAUGAAGUGAGGUUGCGGGUUCGAUCUCUGGCCUUGCUCAGUGGGUUAAGGAUCCGGCGUUGCCGUGAGCUGUGGUGUAGGUUGCAAACCCGGAUGGGAUCCCGUGUUGCUCUGGCUGUAGUGUAGGCUGGCAGCUGUAGCUCCAACUGGACCCCUAGCCUGGGAACCUCCAUAUGCCAUAGCUGCAGCCCUAUAAAGACAAAAAGACAAAAAACAAACAAAAAAACCCACAAGUAGUGGUAACACUUAUAUACAAAGACAGGCACUUAACCUAAGUACAAUACGUGUGUUAUUUCACUUUAAAAAUUUUGAAGGACCAAAUAAUAACCUCCUCUAAUAUAUGAAGAAACUGAGGCCUGGAGAGAUCAAAAAACUUUCUUAAAAAUCAUGCAGAGAGUAUGUGAGAGAGCUAGGACUUGAACCUAGGAAACUGGAUACCAGACUCCUUAAUCUUAAUCAUUUUACCUCCCAUUAAUAGCGAUCAUUCAUUACUUCCAAAUCUUGAAAUUAAAUGAUUUUCCCAAUGGAAACAGUGGGGACACUGUACAUAGUUCCUUCUUAAAGUCAUGUCUUCUUAUUCCUAAUCAGGUCCCCUUUCUACCAUCUCAUGCUAUCAGAGCAUAAAGCAAAAUUUAGAUGCUCAGCCCCAUAAUGACUAAAGAUGUGCAGAUCUUCUCAGGGACUUUUUUACUUCUCAAAAAUACUCCUAAUCCCUGAGGAAAUUCUACUGAUCGGUGUAUAUUUUCUAACAAAAUCUUUGUUCACUGGUCCACUACAUAAUGAAAUUCAGGUUCAGGAAUGUGUUGUUGAAAAUUGCCUGUAAAUUUUCUAUAGAAUUCUAUAGAAUUCAGAAAGGAUCUGGGUAUUUAGCAAGAUUAUGAACACAUAAAUUCAUUUUGGAUGCCUGAUAAAUUACUUGAGUCAAACAUAUUCAUCAUCAUGGAUGCAAGAAGAGCAAAUCAGUUUUGUCUGCCCAUUGUGUGUGUGUGUAUGUGUAUGUGUGUGUGUGAGAGAGAGAGAGAGAGAAAAGGAGAGAGAGAGAGAGAAAGAGAGAGAGAACAAGCACUGCCCUUCUUUGGAUUUGUUUCUUUGAAGGAUUUGUGUGCCAAAUAAGAAGACAUACCCCCUGUGGUUUUAACAAGAAGUGCUCACACAUCCAUCUGGUCUACCAUGAAACUGCCUGGCUCCUCAUUCAUGCCCUUAAUUCACCUGCUAGCUUUGCCUGCACCUGAUAGACAGUUGGCCGUACCUUUGGGAUCCUUCCUGAAGCUGCAAUCCAGAAGAACUGAGAAGGUAGAAGGGUUAGAUUAGAAGAAAGAGUGAAAACAGAAAGUUACCAGGCACAAACCCAUCAUCUGAAUGAAGAAUGGAGAUCCUGGGAGAUAUUUAAACUAGAAAAGGGACUGUCUUGAUGAGUAGAGAUGGUGAUUAUGAUUUAGAGUGAUGGCUUUAGAGCCACACAAGCCUGGGUUCAAGCAUAGACCUUGGGUGUGUUUAAGGGCAAAGCAUCUUCACUAAGUCUCAAGUUCCUCAGGGAUUUUACUCACUUAAAAGAUACGUUUACAUGGUGAAAAUGAAUUCAUGACUGAAAAACCUUUGACAAACCCUUUACGUCCCUAACAUUCAACUUCUUCAACUGUAAAAUGAGGAUAAUAUCCAUAACACAGAUUUGUGAAAUCAAAUGAGCUAACUUUCUGUAUGAAAGUUCCCAUCAGAGGGCCCAAUACAUACUGAACAUUCCUAAAUCUAGAAACCUAAAGCUCAGUUAUCUGGGAGAUCUUUACUAUAGGAGCAAUGCCUGAUGUAUUACCUUUAAUUUGCAUCUAUAGCUACAGUUGUUUGAGGAAAGGAAGAAGGCGUAUUUCAGGAAGAAGGCAUAUUUCAAUGUUUCAUAAAACCAUACUGUAUAUAAUAUCUUUUUUCAUCACAAUCACAUCACAGAUUCUAUUUAUGAAGCAACUGAAAACAAAACAUGAUUCUAUGUAUUUGAAAUCUGUUUUAGAAGACAUGCUUCAUUGGUUAAAAAAAAGUGGGGGGGAGUUCCCAUUGUGGCACAGUGGAAAUGAAUCCACCUGGUAUCCAUGAGGAUGAGGGUUCGAUCCCUGGUCUUGCUUAGUGGGUUAAGGAUCUGGCAUUGCCACGAGUUGUGAUGUAGCUUGCAGACUUGGCUCGGAUUCAGCGUUGCUGUGGCUGUGGUGUAGGCUGGCAGCUGUAGCUCCAAUUUGACUCCUAGCCCGGGAACUUCCAUAUGCUGCAGGUGUGGCCUUAAAAAGCAAGAAGAAAAAAAAAAAACCCCACCAAAGAAUAUAUGUGAAAUUGUUUGUGGCAUUAAACUCCAGAUAUUCCAGGGAAAAUAAUGUGUUUAUUGGCAAGAAUAAUAAAUUUGAAAUGUAGAUACUGUUUGUACCUUUUAUUGUUAUUUUAAAUUGCUGGCUGCUUUUUGUUUUCUUUUUAAUGCCUGGCUUUAUUCACUCCAUUUCCCUCUUUUGGUAACAGAAAGAAUACUUAGGUUUGACUCUCAGCUCCACCAGUGUCAAGCUAUGUGACCUUGGGCACAUUAUUUGACCUCUCUGGUUCAUAUUUACAAGAGCAAAAUUAAUAGUAAUUAGCAGGAAGAAUUAUUGUGUUGGUUAAACGAGAUGACAUUUGCAAAAGUGAUGGCUCAUAGCAAGCACUCAGCACAUGCUUAUUUUUCGUCUUUUCCCUAAGAUAUGUUUUAGUGCCAAUGUAAAUUUCUCAAGAUUUUGUGAAAUUUUAAAAAUUUCACAAGGGUCUUUUUUCCUCUGGAUGUUCCUAAGUGUUCUUCCUGUCUCUCUCUUUGUCUCUGUCUGUCUGUCUCUCUCCCCCCACCCCACCCCCCAUAUGAAUUCUUUUUACUAGAGGCCAUAAAGACCUGGAACAUAACCCAUAUGAAUUCGAAUGGGACUGUUCAAUUUGGUAUGUGUGGCUGGCAAGGAAAGAAUGAUUAGACUGGAUUGUCAAGUCCUAGAUCAGUGUCCCAGACACUUUGGAGCCCCAGGCUGUCCACAGGCUUUGGGAAGGUGACCAUGAAUUUGUGAAGCUUUUCUGAAAGGAAUAACAUACUUGUUUAUUUUAAAGAAAGACAAAGCCCCCAUAAAUAGUGGGAGUUCACUAAAUGGCUGUAAAUAAACGAGCUCUUGUUAUGUGCCAGGCUGUCCUAAAUCAGUGCUGUGUACAUUAUACACACGAUGUCAUUCAAACCUCACAGUGACCUCACUUGCCCAAAGCUACAGAGCUGAUAGGUGACCAAGGCAAGAUUUUAGGCCACGUCUGUCUGACUUCCUGCCUCUCCCACUCCUGCCGUGACCCAAACAUACUAAGCAUGUUUGUAUUUGGGAGUGCAUUUCUUUUGACUUGCUAUUUACAGCCACUUUUAUUCAUAAGUUAUUUGUUUAGUAAUUGAAAAAUCACAAAAAUAUAAGCAAAAGCUGAUAACUAAAAAUUACCUUAUCCUUCUACUGAGAGAGAAUGAAAGUUAAUAUUUUGAAAAAUAUUCUUUCAGACAUUUUAAUGUUGAUGUACCUUUUCUUUCCUGAAAACAAAACAAAACAAAAAAAA